GCAAAUGUUUCAUCCUCCCCUAUUAGACACUCUGUGCCGGAGGUCUGUAGGCCAAAACAACAGAAGUCCGGCACAGAGCGUCUAGUUCUGGGACUUCCGGUUAAGCC